rnacentral:rRNA from 1 species
CCUACUGGAGACAUCAUUGAGGCAUCUUGGUCAAUGGGCGCGAGCCUGAACCAGCCAAGUAGCGUGAAGUCUUCCUUCCCUCCUUUUUUUCCCCUUCUUUUCUCCCUUCCUCCAUUUAUUCACUUUUGCCUUUUUGUAUUUACUUUAUUAAUAAUUAUCUUCUAACUCCGUGCCAUCCUCCUCUUUAAUACUUAGUCUCCUAGCGUUAUCCGGAUUUAUUGGGGUUAAAGGGAGCGUAGAUGGGUUGUUAAGUCAGUUGUGAAAGUUUGCGGCUCAACAGGAAAAUGUAAAUGGAGAAGGGAAGUCUUGAGUACAGUUGAGGUAGGCGGAAUGAGUGGUGGAGAGGUGAAAUGCUUAGAUAUAAAGAAGAAAUCAGAUUGCGAAGGCAGCUGAAGAAAAGGAAAAGGAAAUUGAUGAUAGAAAGGGGGGGGAUCAAAAAGGAGGAGAGAAAAGGGAGUC